GUUGGUAUAGCUCAGUGGUAGAAUGUGUGCUUAGCAUGCAAGAAAUCCUGGGUUCGAUCCCCAGUCCCUCCA
rnacentral:tRNA from 1 species